GGCGGCGAGUGGCGAACGGGUGAGUAAUACAUCGGAACGUGCCCAAUCGUGGGGGAUAACGCAGCGAAAGCUGUGCUAAUACCGCAUACGAUCUACGGAUGAAAGCAGGGGAUCGCAAGACCUUGCGCGAAUGGAGCGGCCGAUGGCAGAUUAGGUAGUUGGUGAGGUAAAGGCUCACCAAGCCUUCGAUCUGUAGCUGGUCUGAGAGGACGACCAGCCACACUGGGACUGAGACACGGCCCAGACUCCUACGGGAGGCAGCAGUGGGGAAUUUUGGACAAUGGGCGAAAGCCUGAUCCAGCCAUGCCGCGUGCAGGAUGAAGGCCUUCGGGUUGUAAACUGCUUUUGUACGGAACGAAACGGCCUUUUCUAAUAAAGAGGGCUAAUGACGGUACCGUAAGAAUAAGCACCGGCUAACUACGUGCCAGCAGCCGCGGUAAUACGUAGGGUGCAAGCGUUAAUCGGAAUUACUGGGCGUAAAGCGUGCGCAGGCGGUUAUGUAAGACAGUUGUGAAAUCCCCGGGCUCAACCUGGGAACUGCAUCUGUGACUGCAUAGCU
rnacentral:rRNA from 1 species